GACGAACGCUGGCGGCGUGCUUAACACAUGCAAGUCGAACGAAGAGCGAUGGAAGCUUGCUUCUAUCAAUCUUAGUGGCGAACGGGUGAGUAACGCGUAAUCAACCUGCCCUUCAGAGGGGGACAACAGUUGGAAACGACUGCUAAUACCGCAUACGAUCUAAUCUCGGCAUCGAGGAUAGAUGAAAGGUGGCCUCUACAUGUAAGCUAUCACUGAAGGAGGGGAUUGCGUCUGAUUAGCUAGUUGGAGGGGUAACGGCCCACCAAGGCGAUGAUCAGUAGCCGGUCUGAGAGGAUGAACGGCCACACUGGGACUGAGACACGGCCCAGACUCCUACGGGAGGCAGCAGUGGGGAAUCUUCCGCAAUGGACGAAAGUCUGACGGAGCAACGCCGCGUGAGUGAUGACGGCCUUCGGGUUGUAAAGCUCUGUUAAUCGGGACGAAAGGCCUUCUUGCGAAUAGUGAGAAGGAUUGACGGUACCGGAAGAGAAAGCCACGGCUAACUACGUG
rnacentral:rRNA from 1 species